CAUGUCUUAAUGUUAAUAUUUAUUAAGUCUGNCCUGCUCAAUGAUAAUUAAUUAAAUAGCCGCAGUAUUUUGACUGUGCGAAGGUAGCAUAAUCAUUUGUCUUUUAAUUGAAGGCUAGUAUGAAUGGUUGGAUGAGGGAAUUACUUUCUUUAUAUUAAWGAAUGAAUUUAAUUUUUAAGUUAAAAAGCUUAAAUUUUUAAAUGGGA
rnacentral:rRNA from 1 species